CCCACCUCCGCCUCCUCCUCCUCCCCUUCCCCCUCCCCCGUUCCCGAGCCCCUCGCAGCCCGCGGGAGCAGCGGGGAUGGAGCCGGGACAGGUCGGGAUGGGCAGCGCGGGGCUCUCGGCUGCUCCCACCCGCUGGGGGCGGGGCAACCCGGCCCGGGGAAAGGAGAGGGAAACUGGGAACAUUGGGAGCUGCACAUCCAAACUGGGCCUUGCUGGGGACCCUGGGUGGGGACUUGCAGCCCUUGGGGCUCCUCUCGGAGCCUGGAGAGCCGGGAGGGGGAACGCAGAGAGGGCUGGGGGAUCCCAGGAGUGGCAUCACUGGCAGUCACUGCUUUGUACUGGGAUCGUACUGAGAUCAUACUGGCAGUGACUGGGCUGUACUGGGAUCGUACUGACAUCAUACUGGGAGUAGCUGGGCCCAUGCCAGGGGAGACUGCAAUCACACUGAGGGAGACUGGAAUCAUACUGGGAUCAUACUGGGAGUGAGUAGGAGCCUUUGGGGGGCAAUUGAGACCAUGCUGGGGGCAAAUGGGAUACCCUGGGAGUGACUGGAAUCAUGCUGAGGGUGACUGGGAGCAGCUGGGAGCAACUGGGAUCAUGCUACGAGCAACUGGGAGUGACUGGGUGCAUGCUGGGGGUGACUGGAAGCAACUGGGCUUCUACUGUGAUGAACUGGGAUAAUGCUGGAGGUGACUGGGAUCAGACUGGCAGUGAGUGUGACUACACUGAGGCUGACUGGGAGUGGUUGUAAGCAAAUGGGAUCAUGCUGGAAGUUACUGGGAGGAAUUUGGAGUGACUGGAAAAAAAGUGAGGGUGAAAGAGAGCCACUGGAAUCUGUGGGGGGCAACUGGUUCAUACUGGCAGUGACUGGGAGCACACUGGGGUCAUAUUUGGAUCCUGUUGGGAGUGACUGGACUAAUACUGGGAGUAUCUGAGAGUGACUGGGAAACACAGCAUGCAUAUCAUCCCCCAUACUGGGGGUGACUGGGAGCAACUGGGAGCACACUGGGAGCAAAUGGCAUCAUACUGGGACUGACUGGGUUGAUCUAGGAAGCAACUGGAACCAUGGUGGAGGCAACUGGGACCAUACUGGGAGUGCUGGCAUGCGACUGGGAUCAUACUGGAGGUUACUGAGAUCAUAUUGGUGUUGUAAAGGAGCAACUGGGAUCACACUUUGGGCUACUGGGAGCAACCGAGAGAAACUGGGAUGAUGCUGCAAGCAAACUGGAGUAACUGGGAAGGACUGGAUGCAUGCUGGAGGCAACUGGGAUAUACUGGGUGUGACUGGUCUCCCCACGGUGCAGGUGGUUUCCAGCUGUGACCUGUCCAAUGGAGUGUCCAUGGAUCCCACUGGCACGGCUACGAUGGGUGGGAUUUCAUCUCCUUCCAGCUGGGAUCCAGGAGCUUUGCAGUGUCUGACGAUGCCACCUGGAUCCCCCAGAGGUGCUGGGAAUCCAAAGGGAUCCUGCCAGAGCAGAUGAAGCAUUACCUGGGACACACCUGUGUGGAAGAGCUCCCAAAAUACAUCAGAUGUGGUUGGGAGGCUCUGGAGCACAAA